rnacentral:rRNA from 1 species
UACGGGGGGGGCAAGCGUUGUUCGGAAUUACUGGGCGUAAAGGGCUCGUAGGCGGCCAACUAAGUCAGACGUGAAAUCCCCAGGCUCAACCUGGGAACUGCGUCUGAUACUGGAUGGCUUGAAUCCGGGAGAGGGAUGCAGAAUUCCAGGUGUAGCGGUGAAAUGCGUAGAUAUCUGGAGGAAUACCGGUGGCGAAGGCGGCAUCCUGGACCGGCAUUGACGCUGAGGAGCGAAAGCCAGGGGAGCGAACUGG